CAAAACCUAGGUUGAACUUCAAGAUCUAGUUGAUUUCGGAAGGGUUUUUGCUAGCUUUUCGAUCCAUUAAUCAUCCCUACAGGUUUUCGGGAACACUUUUCAAGCACGGUAAACACAUUUGUGAUUGUUGAGUACUCCAUUGAGGCUAAGCAGGUUGAGCUAGUAAAAGGCUUAGUUUGGUGAGACAGGUAGUUGCUAUGAAGAAGACAUCUAGUUUUCCCGCUUAGUCAUUUAUGUUAGCCGUAUGAUGAAUGGCUACUUUAAUAUGACUUAUAUAUUGUUUAUGUUGGCAUUUAUAUUGGUGCCAAAUCUGGAUUAUCUUAUACUAUUUUUAUGAUAUGUAUGUUGUAACACCACUUUUAUAAAUGAACGAUCCGUUACGGGUUAGUUAUGUUUUAA